rnacentral:rRNA from 1 species
AGAGUUUGAUCCUGGCUCAGGACGAACGCUGGCGGCGUGCCUAAUACAUGCAAGUCGAGCGAAUCAAUGGGAGCUUGCUCCCUGAGAUUAGCGGCGGACGGGUGAGUAACACGUGGGUAACCUGCCUGUAAGACUGGGAUAACUUCGGGAAACCGGAGCUAAUACCGGAUAGUUUCUUUUCUCGCAUGAGAGAAGAUGGAAAGAUGGUUUCGGCUAUCACUUACAGAUGGACCCGCGGCGCAUUAGCUAGUUGGUGAGGUAACGGCUCACCAAGGCAACGAUGCGUAGCCGACCUGAGAGGGUGAUCGGCCACACUGGGACUGAGACACGGCCCAGACUCCUACGGGAGGCAGCAGUAGGGAAUCUUCCGCAAUGGACGAAAGUCUGACGGAGCAACGCCGCGUGAGCGAAGAAGGCCUUCGGGUCGUAAAGCUCUGUUGUUAGGGAAGAACAAGUACGAGAGUAACUACUCGUACCUUGACGGUACCUAACCAGAAAGCCACGGCUAACUACGUGCCAGCAGCCGCGGUA